rnacentral:rRNA from 1 species
AACACAUGCAAGUCGAGGGGCAGCAUUUUAGUUUGCUUGCAAACUGAAGAUGGCGACCGGCGCACGGGUGAGUAACACGUAUCCAACCUGCCGAUAACUCCGGAAUAGCCUUUCGAAAGAAAGAUUAAUACCGGAUAGCAUACGAAUAUCGCAUGAUAUUUUUAUUAAAGAAUUUCGGUUAUCGAUGGGGAUGCGUUCCAUUAGUUUGUUGGCGGGGUAACGGCCCACCAAGACUACGAUGGAUAGGGGUUCUGAGAGGAAGGUCCCCCACAUUGGAACUGAGACACGGUCCAAACUCCUACGGGAGGCAGCAGUGAGGAAUAUUGGUCAAUGGGCGAGAGCCUGAACCAGCCAAGUAGCGUGAAGGAUGAAGGCUCUAUGGGUCGUAAACUUCUUUUAUAUGGGAAUAAAGUUUUCCACGUGUGGAAUUUUGUAUGUACCAUAUGAAUAAGGAUCGGCUAACUCCGUGCCAGCAGCCGCGGUAAUACGGAGGAUCCGAGCGUUAUCCGGAUUUAUUGGGUUUAAAGGGAGCGUAGGUGGAUUGUUAAGUCAGUUGUGAAAGUUUGCGGCUCAACCGUAAAAUUGCAGUUGAAACUGGCAGUCUUGAGUACAGUAGAGGUGGGCGGAAUUCGUGGUGUAGCGGUGAAAUGCUUAGAUAUCACGAAGAACUCCGAUUGCGAAGGCAGCUCACUAGACUGUUACUGACACUGAUG